rnacentral:pre_miRNA from 1 species
AUGUGUAUGGGUAUAUGUAUAUGUUCAUAGAUAUCUACAUUUGUGUGCAUGUAUGUGUGCAUGUGUAUGUGUGUGUGCAU